rnacentral:rRNA from 1 species
AUACGGAGGGAGCAAGCGUUAUUCGGAAUCACUGGGCGUAAAGGACGCGUAGGCGGGUUUGUAAGUCAGGUGUGAAAUCCUACAGCUCAACUGUAGAACUGCACUUGAAACUACAGACCUAGAGUAUGGAGGGGGCAGAUGGAAUUAGUGGUGUAGGGGUAAAAUCCGUAGAUAUCACUAGGAAUACCGAAAGCGAAGGCGAUCUGCUGGGACAUUACUGACGCUGAGGCGUGAAAGCGUGGGGAGCAAACAGGAUUAGAAACCCUAGUAGUCC